GACAGAGGUCCCGAGCGUUAGGCGGAAUCACUGGGCUUAAAGCGUGUGUAGGCGGAUGCCUAAGUACCUUGUGAAAUCCCACGGCUCACCCGUGGAACUGCUGGGUAUACUGGGUGUCUUGAGCCACCUAGGGGCGAGCGGAACAAGUGGUGGAGCGGUGAAAUGCGUAGAUAUCACUUGGAACGCCAAUGGUGAAAACAGCUCGCUGGGGGUGUGCUGACGCUGAGACACGAAAGCCAGGGGAGCAAACGGG
rnacentral:rRNA from 1 species